AGGUCAUGCCUAGUACGCGAGUGAGCGGCACAGCUCAAUUUGAAUCUGGCUCUUUUAGAGUCCGAGUUGUAAUUUGCAGAGGGCGCUUUGGCUUUGGCAGCGGUCCAAGUUCCUUGGAACAGGACGUCACAGAGGGUGAGAAUCCCGUACGUGGUCGCUGGCUAUUGCCGUGUAAAGCCCCUUCGACGAGUCGAGUUGUUUGGGAAUGCAGCUCUAAAUGGGAGGUACAUUUCUUCUAAAGCUAAAUAUUGGGCAGAGACCGAUAGCGCACAAGUAGAGUGAUCGAAAGAUGAAAAGACUUUGGAAAGAGAGUCAAACACACGUGAAAUUGUUGAAAGGGAACGCUUGCGCCAACUUGCUUACGUUGCUCAUCCGGUUCUACCGGUGCAGCGUCUGAGCAGCAGCUCAUUUGGGCGAGGAUAAGUUCUGCCGUCCUCUUCGUAGAGCUUUUGGGAGCGACUCACAGCGGCUAUGCCGACCGCUAGAGUGAGAAUGCGUAGCGCAGCUGAACCGGCA
rnacentral:rRNA from 1 species